rnacentral:misc_RNA from 1 species
GGUCCCCCUAUUGAAACCAGAUGACGAUGAAGAAGAAAUGCUGUAAUGCUAAACAUUGGUGGAGACACUGGUCUUAAUGUAUUUCCCAAAUAAAUUUGUCCGUCAGUAAAAUACUCCAAGGGAUUUGUAGACCAUUGUCUCGGUGUGUUUUGGUCAUCAUUAACACUAGUCUUGUUAUUGUUGUUAUCGCUCAUACCACCAGUCAAUAGCUCCGUAAAUGAUGAGCUAGGGUGCAUAUUUCGGUGAUGAUUAGCAACUUUC